AAAUAAAAUAUAAUAAAUAACAGAAACUCCAUCUCCCAAACUUUCACAUAAUAGGCCUAUUUAUUCCUCAGUUUUUUCCACUGGAACCUCUGUGGUGGCUGUCUCUGGUGCUUCAGUGACUGGCUUCUCUUCUUCAGCUGGUUUCUCUUCCUCUGCAGGAGCAGCUGGUGUCUCUGUUACAGUCUCUGUGGGCUUCUCCUCUGCAACUGGCUCAGGCUCAGGCUCAGCCCCAGCCUCAGCCUCAGGCUCAGCCUCAGCCUCAGCUGGCUUUUCUGUCUCUUGAUCUACUUCUGGUGCAGGCUCCUCAGUCUUCUCAACCUUUUCUACUUCUUCAACAUUCUCGGUUUCAGCCUCGGCAGGAGCUUCAACUUCCGGUUCUGUAGGAGCAGCUGCAGGUUCUUCUGCAGGUUUAGCAUCGGCGGCUACGGGCUCAGAGGCAGGUGGUGCGGCAGGUUCUUCGGUCUUCGUCUCCUCAGUCUUGAUCACCUCAGGUACUGUUGCGGCUGUCUCAACCUGCAAGAACCCACAUCAAAUAAUUUCCCUGGUAAAUAAUCAAGUGGAAGAAAGAUUGAAGAAAGGUAGUAACUAGCAAGUAAUAUUAGUCUCUUCAUGAGUCAUCAAGUUCUAUCUCAUUUAAGAACACGAUCCAAAUACCUAAACAUAUAAUACCAUGCAGAGACAUAUCGAAACAAGAUUCAAUAAAAUCAAUAAUGGAUUUUUUAGAAGAUCAUGAUCCAGGUUAGUUGCAAUCAGUUCUCUUUACUGUAAUUCAUUUGCAACACUGUGGGAUCACUAGUUAGAAUCUCGAUCUAAUUCUAAUGAACGAACAAAAAGUUGGUUGAAACAAAUGGAUCAUCAUUGUGAUCAUCUCUAUCACACAUGGAUAGAUCCAUUCAUCCAGAAGAUCAACUCGAUCAUUAGCAUAACUAAAGGAAGAGGAGGACCAUUGAAGUAGAAGAAAUGAGCAUGAUGAAAGCUAAAGAAAGACUGAUGAGAUACC
rnacentral:lncRNA from 1 species